GGAAUAUAAGAACCUGUCUCUUAACUUUUAACUAAAAAAACUAAGAACCGGCUCUUAAAUAAGAGUUUUAAGAAACAGUUCUUAGCUUUUUUUACUUAAAAGUUAAGAGACGGGUUCUUAUAUUCC
rfam:Brassica oleracea var. oleracea cultivar TO1000 chromosome C3, whole genome shotgun sequence